UACGGAGGGUGCGAGCGUUAUCCGGAAUUACUGGGUUUAAAGGGUUCGUAGGCGGCUGUGUAAGUCAGGAGUGAAAGUUUGCGGCUCAACCGUAAAAUUGCUUUUGAUACUGCACGGCUGGAAUCAGGAUGAGGUCAGCGGAAUGUGGCAUGUAGCGGUGAAAUGCAUAGAUAUGCCAUAGAACACCAAUUGCGAAGGCAGCUGGCUAGACCUGUAUUGACGCUGAGGCACGAAAGCGUGGGGAGCGAACAGG
rnacentral:rRNA from 1 species